GACGAACGCUGGCGGCGUGCUUAACACAUGCAAGUCGAACGGAAAGGCCCUGCUUUUGUGGGGUGCUCGAGUGGCGAACGGGUGAGUAACACGUGAGUAACCUGCCCUUGACUUUGGGAUAACUUCAGGAAACUGGGGCUAAUACCGGAUAGGAGCUCCUGCUGCAUGGUGGGGGUUGGAAAGUUUCGGCGGUUGGGGAUGGACUCGCGGCUUAUCAGCUUGUUGGUGGGGUAGUGGCUUACCAAGGCUUUGACGGGUAGCCGGCCUGAGAGGGUGACCGGCCACAUUGGGACUGAGAUACGGCCCAGACUCCAACGGGAGGCAACAGUGGGGAAUAUUGCACAAUGGGCGGAAGCCUGAUGCAGCAACGCCGCGUGCGGGAUGACGGCCUUCGGGUUGUAAACCGCUUUCGCCUGUGACGAAGCGUGAGUGACGGUAAUGGGUAAAGAAGCACCGGCUAACUACGUG
rnacentral:rRNA from 1 species